GAGACAGCAGCCGCCGCGGUAAAACGUAGGGUGCAAGCGUUAAUCGGAAUUACUGGGCGUAAAGCGUGCGCAGGCGGUUCGCUAAGACAGAUGUGAAAUCCCCGGGCUUAACCUGGGAACUGCAUUUGUGACUGGCGGGCUAGAGUAUGGCAGAGGGGGGUAGAAUUCCACGUGUAGCAGUGAAAUGCGUAGGGAUGUGGAGGAAUACCAAUGGCGAAGGCAGCCCCCUGGGCCAAUACUGACGCUCAUGCACGAAAGCGUGGGGAGCAAACAGGAUUAGAUACCCGUGUAGUCCCUGUCUCUUAUAC
rnacentral:rRNA from 1 species